AGAGUUUGAUCCUGGCUCAGGACGAACGCUGGCGGCGUGCCUAAUACAUGCAAGUCGUGCGGACCUUUUAAAAGCUUGCUUUUAAAAGGUUAGCGGCGGACGGGUGAGUAACACGUGGGCAACCUGCCUGUAAGACCGGGAUAACGCCGGGAAACCGGGGCUAAUACCGGAUAGUUUUUUCCUCCGCAUGGAGGAAAAAGGAAAGGCGGCUUCGGCUGCCACUUACAGAUGGGCCCGCGGCGCAUUAGCUAGUUGGCGGGGUAACGGCCCACCAAGGCAACGAUGCGUAGCCGACCUGAGAGGGUGAUCGGCCACAUUGGGACUGAGACACGGCCCAAACUCCUACGGGAGGCAGCAGUAGGGAAUCUUCCGCAAUGGACGAAAGUCUGACGGAGCAACGCCGCGUGAGUGAAGAAGGCCUUCGGGUCGUAAAACUCUGUUGCCGGGGAAGAACAAGUGCCGUUCGAACAGGGCGGCGCCUUGACGGUACCCGGCCAGAA
rnacentral:rRNA from 1 species